rnacentral:misc_RNA from 1 species
GAUGAAGAACGUAGCGAAAUGCGAAAAGUAAUGUGAAUUGCAGAAUUCAGUGAAUCAUCGAAUCUUUGAACGCACAUUGCGCCCGCUGGUACUCCGGCGGGCACGCCUGGCCGAGCGUCAUUUCAACCCUCAAGCCCUCCUUCGGGAUGGGCCUGGUGUUGGGGCUCGGCCGCCAUCUCCGGCGGCCGUCCCCUAAAUACAGUGGCGGUCACGUCGCGACUCCUUUGCGUAGUAGAAACACCUCGCUCCGGAUAGCAACGCGGUCCACGCCGUAAAACCCCCAAUUUUCAAUGGUUGACCUCGGAUCAGGUGGGAAUACCCGCUGAACUUAAGCAUAUCAAUAAGCGGAGGA